AAAGGUAUAGCUUGGUGGUAGAGUGCGUGCUUAACAUGCACAAGGCCCUAGAUUCCAUUCCUGGUACCUCCA
rnacentral:tRNA from 1 species